rnacentral:rRNA from 1 species
UACAGAGGGUGCGAGCGUUAAUCGGAAUUACUGGGCGUAAAGAGCUCGUAGGCGGUUCGAUAAGUCGGGUGUGAAAACUUUGGGCUCAACCCAAAGCGUGCAUUCGAUACUGUUGUGACUAGAGUUCGGUAGGGGAGUGGGGAAUUCCUAGUGUAGCGGUGAAAUGCGCAGAUAUUAGGAGGAACACCGGUGGCGAAGGCGCCACUCUGGGCCGAAACUGACGCUGAGGAGCGAAAGCGUGGGUAGCAAACAGG